GCCGAGGUGGCGAAAUGGUAGACGCACUAGCUUUAGGAGCUAGCGGGAGUAAUCCCGUGGAGGUUCAAGUCCUCUCCUCGGCACCA
rnacentral:tRNA from 1 species